GAAAUGCGAUAAGUAGUGUGAAUUGCAGAAUUCAGUGAAUCAUCGAAUCUUUGAACGCACAUUGCGCCCUUUGGUAUUCCAAAGGGCAUGCCUGUUCGAGCGUCAUUUGUACCCUCAAGCUUUGCUUGGUGUUGGGCGUCUUGUCUCUAGCUUUGCUGGAGACUCGCCUUAAGUAAUUGGCAGCCGGCCUACUGGUUUCGGAGCGCAGCACAAGUCGCACUCUCUAUCAGCAAAGGUCUAGCAUCCAUUAAGCCUUUUUUUCAACUUUUGACCUCGGAUCAGGUAGGGAUACCCGCUGAACUUAAGC
rnacentral:misc_RNA from 1 species